rnacentral:tmRNA from 1 species
GGGGCUGUAACGGUUUCGACGUCUUAGUGAACGUAGCUUCAUGAUUCAGGCCGAGAGUGAGUUAUCUCUCGUAAAUCAAUGGCUCAAACAUCGUACAUGCGAACAACAUCGUACCUUUCGCUCGCCAGCGUACAGCAGUAGCUGCCGCCUAGAAAAAACCAACUCUUUGGUUCGAGCAUUCAUAGAUUGACUCCGUUAAUUUCUAUGGAUAACCCCCAACGGAUGCGCGAUCUGAGGGUCUCUGGUCCCGACGUAAGCAAAGAACUUUACUAGAGCAUCCCUCGCCUGGGAUAAGAGGCGAUUCCCGCUUCGAGGGUUAGAGAAGCUAAGCCUGUGAAUGAAUGGAGAGCUAAUAAUUAGGGCGGACACGGGUUCGACUCCCGUCAGCUCCA